rnacentral:rRNA from 1 species
AAACACUUCGGUGUGAGUAGAGCGGCGGACGGGUGAGUAAUGCUUGGGAAUCUACCUAGUAGUGGGGGAUAACGUGUGGAAACGCACGCUAAUACCGCAUACGUCCUACGGGAGAAAGCAGGGGAUCUUCGGACCUUGCGCUAUUAGAUGAGCCCAAGUCGGAUUAGCUAGUUGGUGGGGUAAUGGCUCACCAAGGCUACGAUCCGUAGCUGGUCUGAGAGGAUGAUCAGCCACACUGGGACUGAGACACGGCCCAGACUCCUACGGGAGGCAGCAGUGGGGAAUAUUGCACAAUGGGCGAAAGCCUGAUGCAGCCAUGCCGCGUGUGUGAAGAAGGCUCUAGGGUUGUAAAGCACUUUCAGUAGGGAGGAACAGCUUAAGACUAAUACUCUUGAGCCUUGACGUUACCUACAGAAGAAGCACCGGCAAACUCCGUGCCAGCAGCCGCGGUAAUACGGAGGGGGCAAGCGUUGUUCGGAAUUACUGGGCGUAAAGCGCGCGUAGGCGGUUAGUCUAGUCAGGCGUGAAAUCCCGGGGCUCAACCCCGGAACUGCGCUUGAUACUGGCUUACUAGAGGUCUGGAGAGGGUAGUGGAAUUCCCAGUGUAGAGGUGAAAUUCGUAGAUAUUGGGAAGAACACCAGCGGCGAAGGCGGCUACCUGGACAGAUACUGACGCUGAGGUGCGAAAGCGUGGGGAGCAA